CCUACGGGAGGCAGCAGUAAGGAAUAUUGGUCGAUGGGCGCAAGCCUGAACCAGCCAUGCCGCGUGCAGGAAGACGGCCCUAUGGGUUGUAAACUGCUUUUGAACAAGAGAAAACCUCGGUACGUGUACCGAGCUGAUAGUAUUGUUAGAAUAAGCAUCGGCUAACUUCGUGCCAGCAGCCGCGGUAAGACGAAGGAUGCAAGCGUUAUCCGGAUUCAUUGGGUUUAAAGGGUGCGUAGGCGGCCUGAUAAGUCAGUGGUGAAAUCUCUCAGCUUAACUGAGAAACUGCCAUUGAUACUGUCGGGCUUGAGUACAGAUGAUGUGGGCGGAAUAUGACAUGUAGUGGUGAAAUACUUAGAUAUGU
rnacentral:rRNA from 1 species